UACGUAGGGGGCAAGCGUUGUCCGGAUUUAUUGGGCGUAAAGAGCGUGUAGGCGGCUUUACAGGUCCGUUGUGAAAACUCGAGGCUCAACCUCGAGACGCCGGUGGAAACCGUAAGGCUAGAGUCCGGAAGAGGAGAGUGGAAUUCCAGGUGUAGCGGUGAAAUGCGUAGAUAUCUGGAGGAACACCGGUGGCGAAGGCGGCAUCCUGGACCGGCAUUGACGCUGAGGCGCGAAAGCCAGGGGAGCAAACGGG
rnacentral:rRNA from 1 species